rnacentral:rRNA from 1 species
GACAGGAGGUGCAAGCGUUACUCGGAAUUACUGGGCGUAAAGCGUCUGUAGGCGCCCCAUUAGGUCUGGCAUAAAAUCGCAGAGCUUAACUCUGCGUCUGUGUUGGAAACUGGCGGGGUCGAGGUACUCAGAGGCAUCUGGAAUGUCGUGUGUAGGGGUAAAAUCCGUUGAUACACGAUGGGACGCCAAAAGCGAAGGCAGGAUGCUGGGAGUGUCCUGACGCUCAGAGACGAAAGCGUGGGGAACAAACCGG